rnacentral:lncRNA from 1 species
UCUUCGUCGCUGUUGACCCCACCUGGAUUUCCUUGGUCAGAGGACAGGGAAAUGGACAAUUGUUUGAGACAGGGGAAGGAGGGAACCCAGUUGAGAAAUAGGGGCCUGGGGAGGGUGAUGCAGAGGGAUGUGAGACGGGGAAAGGAGGUGGAGAGAAAAAGGAGGGAGGAGAGAGAAAGAGGGGUGGGGUCGAGAGAAAGAGCGAGGAGGUUGGAGCAGGAGGAGGAGAUGAGUGAGAGGAUGUGUGGGGUCAGAGAGAAGUGUGGAGAGAGGGAGAGAGAGAGGGAGGAGAGGAAAGGGUGGUGGGAGAGGAAGGAGGAGAGAGAAGAGACGGUGAGAGAGGAGUGAGAGAUGAGGCGGAGGGAGAGGGAGGUUGUGGAGGAUCGGUAGAGGCGGAGCCAGCGCUUGCAGACGAGGGCGACGGAGGAGGAGGAAGAAGGAGGGAGCUUCUGGAAAAUUUCUUGCAACAACUCAUCGUAGAGGCUGUUCUCCAUCUCACCAAUCUCUUCUCUCUUUGUUUUGUUCUCUGUUUUUGGUCUCUGUUGUUGAAAAAUAAACCGAUUGUUCUGGGAAGGUCUGGUUUCUCUAGGACAGAGAGAGAAGGAAAGAUGAUUAGGUGAGAAGAAGAGAAGUGAGU